AAUGAUCAAAAAUGGAAAAUUCCUUGCGGAAUACCAUGGCGUUUUAUCCAAAGCUGACGACAUGAAGGACAAAGAUACAAACUACACAUAUUUCUUUGACUUUAAUGGUGUCAAGUACUGGUAUGUAAAAUAUUUCAACCUUUAAAUAAUACAAGCCUUUAAAUUCAAGCUACAAAAUUGGAUAUCAAACGCAAAGGCGGAUCUGUGUCUGUUUUAGAAUAAGGUAAUCAAAGUCAAGACAGUACUGUGUAACAUUUACAUUCAUUAUUUGUGAAUCGGUUUCAAGAAAACUAAUGUUAAUGCUUUCUUUUAUUUGUAUAAUCCAUGAAAAUACUCGUGUGAAUAAAAAUGCAUUUUCAAAAUUAAAAACAUCCAUUUGAAAUCUACAUGAUUACAUUUGGUCUCAUAAAUGAUUAUCUAAGAUAAAUUAAUUAACUUUAAGACUUUAUCGCACUAGUUUGACACAUUUGUCUGUUCAGUACGUUUUAAUUUUUGUUAUUAUCAUAUUUUUGGUACCAUUGAUGCCUCAGAGGAACCAAAACUGUAUCAACCAUCGUUAGGACGGCUAGUAAAUCAUGCAGACAAAAAACUACAGAGAAAUUCAAGAAUAACAGUCAUUGGUGUGAAUGGGGUUCCUCAUCUUGUACUGUUUGCGACUAGAUUUGACUUGUAAUGAAAACUGCGACGAUGAGCCAGUUCAGUCUCCUGUAAAAUGCAGAGUGUGUGAAUACCAAAGGAAGGUCUGCAGUUCGAUUGGUCAUGAGAACAACAACAGUGGUGUAACAUCGGCUUCGAAACGCAAAGCAGAAUUUCCAGUACAAACAGGCAAAAAGAUCAAGGUCGUUCCUUGGACAGAGAAGCAGUUAGCGCCAUGCGAAGGUCAUUCGUCAAAAAUAUCCGCUGCUUAAGAGUUCCUAACAAGCAGGAAUGCGGACGAGCAAGGAAAAAUGAGAGCCUGUUGCUUUCUCGUGAUUGGAAGAACAAUAAAUUCCGUGACCAUAAUGAAGUACAAAGAUUAAAGAAAAAAAAAGUUAAAAGAAAAAGAAACAUCCGUUAAACUUGCAAUGAAAUCUAACAGACAUAUAUUUUCAAAAUGUAAAAAUGUUUAUGUGUGUUUUUUUUACAUAAAGUCCCCAGACACUCGUUCAUGUACAGUAUUAUUUUUGCUGGAUGUUCAUGUUAAGAGGUCAUGAAAU